rnacentral:rRNA from 1 species
UACGUAGGGUGCAAGCGUUAUCCGGAAUUAUUGGGCGUAAAGCGUCCGCAGGUGGCACCUCAAGUCUGCUGUCAAAGACCGGGGCUUAACCCCAGAAAGGCAGUGGAAACUGAAGUGCUAGAGUGCAGUAGGGGUAGAGGGAAUUCCCGGUGUAGCGGUGAAAUGCGUAGAGAUCGGGAAGAACAUCGGUGGCGAAAGCGCUCUGCUGGACUGCAACUGACACUCAGGGACGAAAGCUAGGGGAGCGAAUGGG